rnacentral:rRNA from 1 species
AUUGAACGCUGGCGGCGGGCUUUACACAUGCAAGUCGGACGAGUGGCGGACGGGUGAGUAACGCAUCGGAAAGUGCCGGAUAGUGGGGGAUAACUAUUCGAAAGGACAGCUAAUACCGCAUACUAUCCGAUGGGCCGAGGUGGGAUUAGCUGGUUGGCGGGGUAAAGGCUCACCAAGGCGACGAUCAGUAGCGGGUCUGAGAGGAUGAUCAGCCACACUGGAACUGAGACACGGCCCAGACUCCUACGGGAGGCAGCAGUGGGGAAUUUUGGACAAUGGGCGCAAGCCUGAUACAGCCAUGCCGCGUGUAUGAAGAAGGCCUUCGGGUUGUAAAGUACUUUCGGCAGGGAGGCGGUACCUGCAGAAGAAGCACCGGCUAACUACGUGCCAGCAGCCGCGGUAAUAC